rnacentral:tRNA from 1 species
GGAGGGGUGACCGAGCGGCCGAUGGUGACGGUCUUGAAAACCGUUUUAGCUUCGUGCUAACGCGGGUUCGAAUCCCGCCCCCUCCGCCA